CUGUGCGGAAUGAUCAAAAAACUACACCAGACUGGUGGCCAUGACAGAUGUCAGUGGGAAAUUUAAACAUGGACUAGAUACUUUGAUGUGUAGCAAAAAAGUUUAUCGUUGAUGGUGCUGUUUUUAUGUGAUAUAUUGACUGGGAUAGUAUUACCCUUCGGAAAUACAGAGCUGUCAAUGCUGCAAUUUUGUUGUGAAAUUCACAAUCCAUGUCCAAAUGUGCUUGUUUUACUAUACAGCAAAGAAGGAGAAAUUGUACUGGGCCGACACCUAUAUGGCAAAUUCAGAAAGUGGAAUAUCUCAGCAACCAUAGUGUUUACAGUCAUGAAACUUCACACACUAGUAGCUGAUAACAGUACAAAUCAGUGGCUAAAAGGAUAUUUCUAAGGCGAUGAAUUCCAUAUGUCAGUAGGAAUUUAGAAUCGUACAACCAGUCAGCAGCUACCCAUAAAACCAGACCAUCCUAUUAAGUCGAGCGGGCAGAAGCUGUGAUUCCCAGUGUAACACCGCAGAAUGACGGCUAGUUUUCGGAUUACAUUUCUGUGCGGAAUGAUUAAAAAACUACACCAGACUGGUGGCCAUGACAGAUGUCAGUGGGAAAUUUAAACAUGGACUAGAUACUUUGAUGUGUAGCAAAAAAGUUCAUCGUUGAUGGUGGUGUUUUUCUGUGAUAUAUUGACUGGGAUAGUAUUACUCUUCAGAAAUACAGAGCUGUCAAUGCUG